rnacentral:lncRNA from 1 species
ACUAGGCAUAAAAGGAAUUAGUUCUGCAUUAAAAGGUCUUUCUAUUUUUUAGUACAUCUCACCUUUUAAAAAAUUUAUAAUAUCCUCAUCAUAUAACUAUUUCAUGUCCACUGUUCUAAAUAUUAAUGACAUUAAAAACUAACCAUUUGUGAUAAACAAAUGUUUCCUGAGACAAAAGAGACUUCAAUACUAUUACAUGAAGGUUUAGUGAGCAUUUGCAAAUCAACUAUAUUCAAGCUAAUACUCAUGUUUGACUGUUCAAAUUCAAAUAAUCAAUCCUUUUAACUAGUAAAUUAGGCAUUUUGUUCCAAUUAUUUGUUUAGUUUAAACAGCUGCAAGUCUGUAAUAAAAUAAUUAUUUGUAAUAGGAACCUGAUGGGCUCGAAUAUCAGAAUGUGCUAUUAUUACUUGGUAGACAUUAACUCUGUUUUUGUCUAAUAAAUAAGGGAGUGGACUUACUCUCUUAACAGAGAGAGCUCGAUGGCUGGAUGAAAUUUCAAAUUUCCAUUUGCAAAUCAGCAGUUUCUAAGCAUAGAGAAAAACGUAAAAAUACAACAGUUGAAAAGGAUACAAAGAAACAUAGAAUAUACAAUGUUGGUGGAAGAGAAGAUUGGCACAACCACUCUGGAGAAGGUAUAGAAUAAAUUUCCCUUACAUUCUACAAAGCAAUUUCAUUUCUAGGAAUACUAGAAGUAAUGCUUGCUCGUGAUAACAGGAAAAUAUAUAAAAGAUUUCUCACAAAAGGGAUGCUUUUAUUAGGAAAUUGUUGGAAUUAAUUCAAUGUAUAUAAAUCUAAUUGCAUGAUACUGAUAAGAGUAAAUAAGUAAAGAUACAUAAAGUAGAAUGCUGUUUACAAAAGUAUGAAAGCAUGCCAAUCAAUGUUAUGCAUUAUUUCAACACUCAUGUAUUACAAGUAUAAAAUGAUGAAUUACAAAAAUAAAAUUCAGGAGAGUUGUUACUUCUGGAGAAAGAAAAAUAGGGAGAGAAUAAAGAGGAUUGUAGAGAAAGAUUGAUUUUAUCUGUAAUGCUUUAUUUAAAAAAAAUAUAAAGCAAAUGCAUGAAAAUUUUAAAUUAUGUUAAAACUAAGCAAUGGCUACAUAGAUAUUUGUUAGAUCAUUCUUCGUAUAUAGCUC